rnacentral:rRNA from 1 species
AUUGAACGCUGGCGGAAUGCUUUACACAUGCAAGUCGAACGGCAGCACGGAGAGCUUGCUCUCUGGUGGCGAGUGGCGAACGGGUGAGUAAUAUAUCGGAACGUGUCCAAUAAUGGGGGAUAACGAGUCGAAAGAUUCGCUAAUACCGCAUACGCCCUACGGGGGAAAGCAGGGGAUCGUAAGACCUUGCGUUAAUGGAGCGGCCGAUAUCUGAUUAGCUAGUUGGUGAGGGAAAGGCUCACCAAGGCGACGAUCAGUAGCUGGUUUGAGAGAACGACCAGCUACACUGGAACGGAGACACGGUCCAGACUCCUACGGGAGGCAGCAGUGGGGAAUUUUGGACAAUGGGGGCAACCCUGAUCCAGCCAUUCCGCGUGAGUGAAGAAGGCCUUCGGGUUGUAAAGCUCUUUCGCAAGGGAAGAAAACUUAUGAUCGAAUAAAUCAUGAGGUUGACGGUACCUUGAUAAGAAGCACCGGCUAACUACGUGCCAGCCGCCGCGGUAA